GACAGCUGGCGCGCGGUGGAGGCUCCGGCCGGGUGCCCUCGGUCGGCGCCGGGCGACCGCGGAGUGAGAAAGUUGGAGCGGACUCGAGCCCCGUAGCGGCCGGGCGGGCCGGGCGAGGCGGUGCCGGCGAGGCCACCGGGCGGACGCCGAGCGCAGCGGGGAGCUCCCGGCGGCGGAGUUGGGGGCCGAACCCGCUUUGUCUGGGCCGGGCCUGGCUUCCUCCCCGGAGCCUGACAGCCGCGUGCGGCGAUCGCCGCUGCGGAGUCGCUGGUCCCGGGACAGGAGGUGAUGACUUCCUCCGAGGGUGGGGUCCUUGGGGACAGCUCCUGGGGGCGAACGGUGCACCCGGGCCGACGGGUGUUCUCCUGAAGCAAGCCCAGCCCGCCGUCGUGGAAAGAAGCGCCUUAGCAAGAGGGUUUGGAAGACUUUCCUCUAGGUGUGUUUCGUUUGGGUUAGUAUAUCCAGUAAGAGCCAAGCGGGGUCUUUGUAUGAAUAUGUCUCGGGGAGCAAAUGGAGACAAGUUCAUUAUCACGCGCCUCUCGGUUAUCGUACCUGUUUUUACAGAGAACUCUACAAAUUUAAGUGAUGAAAAUACAAAUUAAUAGCAAGCCAGUUACACUUGUUUUUCUAGUCCUAUGUAAGCCGGGAUCGUUUUCCUAUCUUUCUGGCCCUUUUCUGCGUGACCCCCACCACCCCGUGCCGUGAGAGAACUGCCGUGCGCGGCUGCCUCCAGUUUUCUUCCUAUUCUGGGUGAUUUUCACUGGACACGUGCACCUCUGGGAAAACACUCCCUGCCAGGCUGAGCCGCCAGAGAAGCUGCUGUUGGCUUCUGGUGUUUGUAAAAAGGGAAGUUAUUUGUUUUGAAGCUACCCCCGAUCAGAUUAAGUGCGUGUUUUCCAAAGUCCACUUCAGGCACUUAUAACGAGGUGUGCCUAAACCAGGGGGCACCCAAGUGACUUUGGUUGUAGAAAUACUAAUUUUUGGUUUGUUUUCUCUGUGUCAUGGUGAUAAAAUUAGGAGACUACGAAGCAUCCAGUUCAUUUUUUAAAAAAGUAUUUGCUGCAGAUAAGCCAGUUUUGGAAGCCCUAGGGACAUAGUGGUUAAGGGCUACCGCUGCUUACCGAAAGGUUGGCAGUUGGAACCUACCAGGCGCUCCUUGGAAACCCCAUGGGGCAGUUCUAUUCUGUCCUUUUGGGUGUUAUGCACUGGAAUCAACUCAGCGGUAAUGGGUUUGGAAAUCAAUUUCAGUUUGCAAUUAGUUUUACUUACAGAACAAAUUUAUUAAGCAAGAAGAAACUGCUUCCACAUUUUUGACUGCGUACAGGAAUUCACACUUUCUGUAAUCCUUGAACAGAUAAUGUCUGUUUUCACGGUUUGCAUUUUCUCAGAACAUCCAGCACAGAUUGAGGUAUUCUGUGACCCUUUAAAGGUUCCGGAAGCCCCACAUCUUGGAGGCAGAAGCUACAGUCUCCUAUAUUCAAAGCAAAACAGAGAUUUGGUCACCUUGACAGGUGAUUACGCUGACCUCAGGCAGGCUGAGCUGUGCCUGCCUUCCUCCACCGGCCCCCCCCCCCGCCCCCCACACACAAACGCACACAUGCUCUUUGUUCCAGUUAAUUCCCGAGUACAGUGCUUGAUGCUUCUCAGGGUGAUAACUCAGCUCUUUAAAGCACGGCUUCCAACCCUUGGAAGAAACCCUUCAAGCAGAUUUUUUCCAGUUCGAACUUCGGCUGAGAAUUUGCUUUUCCACCCCAGAUGUACUGAAUCAGAAUCUACAUUUUACCAAGAUUCCCAGGUGAGUCUUAAUGUGUCACUUCCUGAGAACUUGUUAGAAAUGGAGAUUCUCAGUAGAGGUUCAAAUCAGAACAAAGAGGUUUGAAGCCCUGCUUUAAAGUGCCUGCCUGCAGGUGAGGAGCUGGAGAGUAACCUGAGCUGUGCAAACAGUGCUCCUCACACCUCGAAGAAAGGUUCUAAGUAAAGUAUUAGGAUGUUGUUAGAUGUCGUGGAGUGAGUUCUUACUCUCCAGCGACCCUGUAGACAGAGUAGAACUUCCCCAUAGGGUUUCCAAGGAACGGCUGGUGGAUUUGAACUCCCAACUUUCAGGUUAGCAACUGAGCUCUUAAUCACUAUGCCACCACAGCUCCAGUUAUUAGGAUAUUUGAUUAAAAUUUUGUGUACAUUUUUUCAGUGGAGAAAGCAUAUAUGUGCAUUUUUCAGAUCUCUGUCCAGCCUAUGAUUUGGAGCAUGAAUGGAGCUGGGAAGCAGAGCUGCCGAAGGACAAAAUCCACUACCUCAGUGGGUGGCCUGCAUCUUUCCAGGCUGGAGUGGCCUCUCCAGACUUCCAGGGUUGGUGACAAAACCCAGCGUGCUCUUCACACCAGGGUGAAAUGAUCAGAAUGUCACAGGAACGUAGCCUUUUGUGGUCUGAAAACCGAAGCUAAUGUGCAUUUUUUUCUGAAAUUGGUCCUCACAGAGUAGGAAAAAAUGGUUUCCUAGUUUUACUGUUGAAUUGCUUAAGCAAAUGACAAUAUUUUUCUUAGAAUAGAAACGCUGCUAUUUAUAACCAUAAAAUAAGUUGUGCAAAAGCGGUAGAAAAACAUACAAAGUAGGAAGUGGAAGUCUUUCGUAAUUAUCACGGCUGAAUUCUGUACACCCUUCCGGAUCCACGUGCAUCUGUGUAUGCGGGUACGGGCUUUAAACCACAAGGCAGUCCUCCCUGCCCUUUCCUUGCGGGUGAAGCCAGGCGAGCAGCAGGAGAGCCCCCUCCUCCCAGGCUGGUAUCGGGUGUGUAAGCGAGCCCUCGUGAAGCGCUAGGACACAGGGUAGGAAGAGUUUGCGUGUGAGCUGUCAGUGGACGUGUGAUGAUGGCUGUUUUUUCGCUGCAUUGUGAAGUCUAACACAGGCAUAGAAACACACCUCCAGUGAGAGACCACAUGGCGAAACGCCCCACGUCAGGAAAUGGAAAGUUGACUACCCAGACACCCCUUGUGCCUCUCCUGUUCCUCUGUUCCCUUCUACUCAGAGUUAACUGUGGUCCUGACUUCUGCCACUGAAGUUUAUAUAAAUGGGGUCACACAAUGUGUAUUUUUUUGUGUUUGGCCUUUUUUGUGCACUUUUACAUUUGUUAUACAUAAGGAUUUUUUUUUUCAUUUUCCCUGCUGUAUAAUAUUCCAUUCCAUAAAUGUAGCACAGUGGCUGGUCAGUAGCCAGUUUGACCAUCAUGAAUACUGCUGUGAACCAUUUUGUGUAUACGUCUCUUGCUGCAGCUGUGAAAGCAUUCCUGUCGGGCACAUACCUGGGAGUGGGAUAGGCGGGCCGUACUGUAUGGUGUUCACUUUCAGCGGGUAACACCACACUCUUUUCCGAUGUGUUUUACAGGUUUGUUGCAGAUUUUUACAGUGUUUGGUGUUGCCAGGGUUGUGUGGACAUGCACGCACAUUUUAGUCCAGCCAUUUCAUAGAGCAUAUACAGUGCUUGUAUUUAUAUUCCCUUGAUUUUUAAUGAAGUAAGCACCUACCAUAUAUGUAUUUGUAUUUAGAUAGCCUCUUUUGUGAAGUACCUGUUGAAGACUUCUAUCCUUUUUCUAAAUCGUCUCUUACUCUGACACUUGGAGUUUUACUCUGUUGGCAGUGCCUUUUGAAGAACAGUUUCUUUUUUUAUUUAUUAGUUGUAAUGUGGUCUGAUUUGUCCAUUAGUCCUGUUUAGCCCUAAAUUAAAAUCAUGAAGAUAGUUUCCUGUAUUGUAUGCUUGUUUUCCCUCAGAUUAACUAUUCUCCUAGAGUGAUUUUGGAACUGAUGUGCACUACGGAUCAAGUGUUAUUUUUCCCGUAGAGAGAUCUCAUUGUCCUGGCACAAUGAUUUAAAGCAUCAGUGUUAUAAAAUGUAAGGGUUUGCAUCCAUUAUGUCUGGACUGUUUCUGGACUCUCCAGUCUGCAUUGGUUGGUUUGUUGACCCCUGGUGCCAAGCCAAUAUCCUAACUAAUCAUAACUGUAUAAUAAGCCUUUUUAAAAAUGCUUUUUAUUUUUUCAAUUUUUAUUGUGCUUUAAGUAAAAGUUUACAGAUCAAGUCAGUCUCUCAUACAAAAAUUUAUAUGCACCUUGGCAUAUACAUCUGUUUGCUCUCCCCUUAAUGAGACAGGACACUCCUUCCCUCCACUCUCUCUUUUCGUGUCCAUUCGGCCAGCAUCUGACCCCCUCUGCCCUCUCAUCUCCCCUCCAGACAGGAGGUGCCAACAUAGUCUCAUGUGUCUACUUGAUCCAAGAAGCUCACUCUACACCAGUAUCAUUUUCUAACCCACAGUCCAAUCCCUGUUUGAAAAGUUGGAUUUGGAAAUGGUUCCUGUCUUGGGCUAACAGAAGGUCUGGGGACCGUGACCUCCGGGGUCCUUCUAGUCUCAGACCAGGAAGUCUGGUCGUCUUAUGCGAAGUUGGGGUCCGCAUCCUACUGCUGUCCUGCUGCCUCAGGGGUUGUCUGUUGUGUUCUCUGUCAGGAAAGUCAUUGAUUGUAGCCAGGCACCAUCUAGUUCUUCUGGUCUCAGACUGAUGCAGUCCCUGGUUUAUGUGGCCCUUUCUGUGUCUCUGGGGCUCGUAACUACCUUGUGUCUCUGGUGUUCUUCAUUCUCCUUUGCUCCAGGUGGGUUGAGACCCAUUGAUGCAUCUUAGAUGGUCGCUUGCUAGCGUAAAAGUGAUUUUUAUUUUAAAAUUAGCACACCUGCAGAAGCUUCAUAAAAUAAAUGUGUGGCUUACUGGGGUCAGUAUGAGCUGGAGUCGACUGGACGGCACCCAGCAAUGGCAACGGAUUAUUAUCAGGUGGACACAUUUGUAGCCACCACUGCGCCAAGCAGCACAAUUUUGCCAGCUCCCCGGAAACCUUCUCUGUGCCUCAGAUCCAAUCACCACUUCCUCCCUCCCUGCCCCCGUCCGUCCCUCUGUUCAGACGAGAAUAUCUGCAGACUUGGCACAUGUGAUUAUCACUUCUUUGCUUUUCUCUAUAGUUCUGUGACUGAACUGUGUCCCUCUAAAUAUUAGUUAAGUGUUGCCUGUUUUUAUUUUUUAAUAAGAUUUUUCAGUCUAUUGAUCUACAGAUUACCCUUUUGCCCUUUUCCCCUUCUGCCCUCUGUGGAAGUUAUUUGUUGAGGAAAUUACGUGAUUUGGCUUGUGAUUCUCAGUCUAAAUUUUGUCGAUUGCGUUCCUAUAGCGCAGUUUAAUGUGCUCCUCUGGGCUCUGGCUUCCUAUACGUUGGUAGUUGGAUCUAGAGACUUGAUCACAUUCAGGCCUGGCCUCCUUGGCAGGACUUCUUCACAAGUGGUGUUGGGUUGGUCCAUCAGGAGGAAUGUCUGGAUAUCUCUUUUUUCACGUUGGGAGCCAUUAAUGCACAUGCCUGCACACAUUAAUUCUUUAGGGUCACAGAAAGGUGAUGUUCUAGUUCAGUUCACAGGAUGGUGAUGUUCUAGUUCAGUUCACAGGAUGGUGAUGUUCUAGUUCAGUUCACAGGAUGGUGUUGUUCUAGUUCAGUUCACAGGAUGGUGAUGUUCUAGUUCAGUUCACAGGAUGGUGAUGUUCUAGUGCAGUUCACAAAAUGGUGAUGUUCUAGUGCAGUUCACAAAAUGGUGAUGUUCUAGUUUAGUUCACAGGAUGGUGAUGUUCUAGUUCAGUUCACAGAAUGGUGAUCACGUUCUAGUGCGGUUCAUAGAAUGGUGAUGUUCUAGUUCAGUUCACAGGGUGGUGAUGUUCCAGUGCAGUUCACAGAAUGGUGAUGUUCUAGUGCAGUUUAUAGAAUGGUGAUGUUCUAGUUCAGUUCACAGGGUGGUGAUGUUCUAGUUCAGUUCACAGGGUGGUGAUGUUCUAGUUCAGUUCAUAGAAUGGUGAUGUUCUGGUUCAGUUCACAGAAUGGUGAUGUUCUAGUGCAGUUAUUCCUUGCUGUUUUAUUAGCUGGAAUUGUCCUAUAAAGAGAAACUUGCCCUCAUCUGCUGCUUGGUUAUCUAGUACUACAGUUCACAUAGGAAACUGAGGAGAAAUGCUGGAUUCUUGUUUUUACAUUUUUCAAAAUAAUCAAUUUCUUAACCAUCUUUCAAAAGUGACUGAUGAAGGAUUUUAUUUUGAUAUUAUUAUGAAUUCAUGGAUUGAAACAUUUGAUAGAUUUUAAUUCACUGCUCUUAUCCUUAUUUCUGUUCAAAUUGUUCAUCUUUGAACAGUGGGAGCCUUUUCAGGGUGGCUGUAGGUUGCCUGCUACCCAGUUUGCCAAGGUGUUCUGGACUCAUCUCAUGUUUUCCCUGCCCGAGACCUGGAAUAAGCCAUUUCUUUAAGGAAGUGUUGUUUCUAUUCCUGGGAAAUGACAUCUCAAAACCGAAAUGUUAGGGGAUGCUAAACCACAGCGUUAGCGAUGCUCAUUUGUGUUGUUUGUAUGCCGUUUCCCUGAACAGAGCUAGGCUCUUUGUGUGUGUAUAUCGUUAUGUUCUAUGACCACCAGGUGUUUGCUCCAUCUUUUUUAUCUAUGCCUCUGUCGCCUUUCUACACGGAGAAUUUCAGUUCUUAAUACAUAGAAGAUGACAGAAUAUCGCAUAGUUACUGUAUUUUUACGCACAUGGUGCACGUCAUACUUUAUUUGCGAACUGCACAACCCCCUAUGCGUAAGUUUUAUAAGUGCACUAUACCAAUAUUUUUUAACAUGUUGCUGACCUUAAUUUCUUUUUUUUUUUCUGUCUGACGGAUUUAAUGUCCUGGGAUAAAACCGAUCUCAUGGAAAUAUCAUUUAAGGUACUUAUUUUCCUAAACCAAGUGCAACCAAUAGUGAACUGAACAGGCUCUUGAUGGAAAUGGGACCCCGUGUUGAAACCAAAGAGUAUGAAUGCACAAACAGCCAGAAAUUAAUAAAUAAGAAAAGACCUAGGCCUUAAACUACAAGAACAAGAUGUUUGUAUUUUAUUGCUUUCGUAAAUCUAAAACCGAAACAUAAUUUUUGAUAAUUAAUGUCUUUGAAAACAACAAAUAAGUCACCAGAAAAAAUUGUGUUUUUAUCUUAAAAUAGGCCAUUUUAGUUGAUUCGUUAAUUAUCAUUAUCAUCAUCAUCCUGGCUCCUGGAACCCUUCAGAGUCCGAACCCUCAUCACUGUCAUCGUUGAAAAUAUCUCAGAGCUGCCUGUAGAUGCUCUUCUGACUUCUGAACUCGUCAUCAUCAUCACUGCGUCCAGCGUAUUCAUCUUCAACAUCAGUAUUCGACUGAUAAACAAUCCCAACCUUUCUGAAGCUGUCGCAGAUAGACUCUGGGGUUAUUUUCCCCCAAGCAGAAGACACCCACUUGCAGACUUAUGUAUUGCCCGAUUCAGGGAUAUGUUGCCUCCAAAAUCCAAACAGGUCCACCAGGGGCCUCUUUUGCUGCCUUCUUUUUAGAUGUAGGAGGACCCAGCUGUAACAACUUACCGUUCUAGACGUACCUCACACUCCUGGACUCCUAGAAAUUUCGCUGAGGUGGAAGGCGCCUGAAUUUUUGUGGGAUUAAUUUCUCACCUGUCAGCAUCCAAAUGUUUUACCAAUAAGUCCAGAGUUAUUAAUACUUCUUCCUUACUAGAUCCAGUCAGCAUAGUACCAUCUACGUAAGGAACCAGUGUGUCGUCUUUGGGAGGGAAAGACAAUCAGGGUCCCUGCAGACUAAAUCAUGACAUAGGGCUGAAGAGUUGAUAUGCCUCUGAAGUAGGACAGCAAAGGUGUACUGCUGGCCUUGCCAGCUGAAGACAGACUGCUUCUGGUGUUCCUUUGAAACCAGAAUGGAGAAAAAGGUACUGGCCAGAUCAAUAGCUGAACAACAGAUACCAGGAGAUGUGUGUGUUUGCUCAAGCAGUGAAGCCACACCUGGAACGGCAGCUGCGAUUGGAGUCACCACCUGGUUAAGUUUUUGAUAAUCCCCUGUCAUUCUCCAAGAUCCAUGUGCUUUUUGCACAGGCCAGAUAAGCAAGUUGAAUGGGGAUGUGGUGGGAAUCACCACUCUUACAUCUUUCAAGUCCUUGAUGGUGGUACUAAUCUUUACAAUCCCUCCAAGAAUGUUGGCAUUCCUCUAGGAAUGUGGUAUUGCUUUUGGUUUACUGUAUUCCUAGGUUAGGGCUUCCUCUUGGCUUUUCCUACCGUAAUAGCCUUUACUCUACUUUUCAGGGAUCCAGUGUGGUGGUUUACCAGUUGCUGAGUAUAUCUAUUCCAAUUAUGCUUUCCAGAAUUUGGGAAAUCACUGCAGGAUGGACUCAGAGACCCACUGGACCCACUGUGAGAUGAAUCUGAGCUAAAACUCCAUUAAUAACCUGGUCUCCAUACUUGCCUAACCUGACUGCUGGGCCACCAUUCACAUGCUGAGCCUUCCAGAAUUAAUGUCUGUUCAGAGCCAGUAUGCGCUAAUCCUCAAAAAGUGCGAUUGCUUCCUUUUCCUCAGUGAACAGUUACACUCGUAAAAGGUCACAGAUCCUGUUUGAGAAAGCUGGGUGAAAGAUUGACAGUAUAACAUUUUGGCAGCGUAGUGGGGUCCUUCACCAAGGGAACCCGUCGUCCUCUUUACUUCAGAGGUUUUAGGUCUGUAAGCUGGCUCAAGUUUGGGAAUUGAUUCAGCGACAGUGACUGUCUAUCCUGGUGAUUUGAGUUAGGCUGCCGUUCCGAAACCCUGGUUUCGUAGUGGUUGAGAGUUUGGCUUACUAACCGAAAGGACAGCAGUUCGCGUCCACCAGGCACUCCUUGGAAACCCCAUGGGGCAGUUCUACUCUGUCCUAUAGGGUCACUAUGAGUCAGAAUCGACUCGGUAGCAACGUGUUUGUUGUUUGUGCCAUUAGCUUGAUGUAGUUACUUGUUCUCUCUAAUCUGUAAUGCCCAGUAUUCAUUUUUAUCAUACACUUAGGUCUGCUCUACAACACUAGAUGGGAGAAACAGUCAAUAUUCAUAGUACAUUCAAUUAAACGGGUAAUCUUAAACACAUAACCCUUUCUAAAACAUUCCAGUUUCCUCUUCUCUUCUCCACCCCUUGAUUAUCUUCCUUUUUGUAUGCAUAUGGCCUUGGGUCUCUGGCCAGGUGGAUCCAGCAGACCCUGGCCCCCCAUCAGUCAUCCCAGUUAUCUGGCCUGGCUUUUGCCCCAGGCCACUUAAGCUGCAGCUUUUGAGCUAUUACAGGUAACAACAACCCAACUAACCAUCUAAGAAGCAAAAGUUUCAUUUCCCAAGCCCAUUUGUUCUUUUUCAUACAAAGUCCCAUGCUCUCAUGAGUCUGGAGCCACUGCAAAGAAUCUCGCUUCUGAUGCCAACUGUAAAAAUGACGUGGAGGUGGAGUCUGACCUCUAACUUCACAAGGGGGAAGAAGAACCAAGAUCAACAGCCCAAAGCUGUAUCCUAUGAGGCCGAGGUGUCAGACAUGGCUUCUCUCUCCAUCAUCAUUACCGAUUUUGACACCAACUGCCCCUCCCAAGGAACUCUACUUCUGUGCUGGGUUCAAUAAUUUAUUGCAGUGGGUACACAGAGCUCACAACAUUUAUGUUUAUGGGGUUUAUUAGGGAAGUAACGUUUACAAUUCAGGCUCAGGACCACUCAGGAUACAGUUUUUCCUUUAGGAUAGCCUCUUCCCAGGCAUACUUGCAGGCAUGCCUGUCCCUGGCCCUUGGCUUCUGCCCAAAAGCACUCAGCUUUCUUGCUCCAUGGGCUGGGAAGCCUGCCAUGCUGUCUCCUGCUGUCAUUUCUCUGCCACUGCUUCUCAAGCUCUCAUUGUCUCUGUCUCCUGGUUCCAGGAGCUUCUCAGCCCAGAGAUCCUGAAUCCAAAGGAUAUGCUCUUCACUCCUGGCUGUUUUUGUUGUUGGCGGGAUCCUUUCUAUGCUAUGGAAUUGGCUCGUUUAAGGCAAAACUGAGCAGUCCACUCGGUGUGCCACAAUUGUCGUAUUUUCACAGGCCCACCCAGUUGGGUAGAAGUUACACAAGACCAUGGCUAGAAACCCUACAGAGAAGCGAUCCAUUCACUGCAGUGUCACUUUGAGGACUAUGGUGCCUGACCUAAGCCAUGAUAUUUUCAGUCACCUUAUAUGCAUGCAAAAGCCGGACAGUGAAUAAGGAAGACUGAAGAAGAAAUGAUGCUUUUGAAUUACGGUGUUGAUGAAGAAUGUUGAAUAUACCAUGAAUUGCCAGAAGAACAAAUAAGCCUGUGAUGGAAUAAAUACUACCAGACUGCUCCUUAGAUGUGAGGAUGGUAAGACUUCAUCUCACUUACUUUUGACAUGUCAUCGGGAGGGACCAGUCCCUUGAAAAGAACAUCAUGCUUGGUAAAGUAGAGGAUAAGUGAAAAACAGGAAAACCCUCAAAAGAGAGGGAUUGACAUGGUGGCUGUAACAAUGGGCUCAAACAUAACAAUGAUUGAGGUUGGCACAGGACCGGGAAAUGUUUUGUUCUCUCGUACAUAGGGUCGCUAUGGCUCAGCAUCGGCUCGACGGCACCUAACAACAAUAUAUACAUGGAGAGAGAGAGGAAGAUUUAUCUCAAGAAAAUGGCUCAGGUCCCAAGUCCAUUGUUAGGCAUCAGGCUGGAGGCUCCUUCUGGCUCACAUGGCUGCGGGUGUGACCAGCCCAUGAUCCACAGGUCAUACAGCAGGCAGCUGGCUCACGGGCUGUGGAGGGUGACAAAUCCAAGAUUGGCGGGCUGCUGUCUCCUAGGCUGCAGAGGCCUACUAAUCCCAAGAUCGGCAGGUAGGAUAGUAGGUACGUGGCUCACAGGCUGCAGAGGCUGAUGAAUUCCAAGAUCAGCAGGCAAUAUGGCAGGCAGCUGACUCAGGUCCCCAAAAUUGGAAAUUAGAUGAUGAGCCGGAUGCAGGAUACAGAGCAAGCAAGCAAGCUUAGCCAGAACGUCCGUUUAUAAAUUUGAAAACCCUCUUACAACUGGUUGGCUGGUACCAGCAUCCCAUUGUGGAGCAUGACUAUAUUGUUACAUGACUGCUAAACCACAGCGUUGCAUAACAGCCAAACCACGUCAGUACGUGCCUGCCAAACCGCGUCAUGACGUAGCUGCCGAACCGCGUCAGUACGUAGCUGCCGAACCGCGUCAGUACGUAGCUGCCGAACCGCGUCAGUACGUAGCUGCCGAACCGCGUCAAGACGUAGCUGCCGAACCGCGUCAUGACGUGGCUGCCGAACCGCGUCAGUACGUGGCUGCCGAACCGCGUCAGGACGUGGCUGCCGAACCGCGUCAGGACGUGGCUGCCGAACCGCGUCAGGACGUGGCUGCCGAACCGCGUCAUGACGUGGCUGCCGAACCGCGUCAUGACGUGGCUGCCGAACCGCGUCAGGACGUGGCUGCCGAACCGCGUCAGGACGUGGCUGCCGAACCGCGUCAGGACGUGGCUGCCGAACCGCGUCAG